GGGCCGAGCAAAAGAUGAGCUAUUUUGAAAAAUGUGCAGGAGCAGUGAAUCCAGGCUUGUUACCCACCAUAGCUGGAUUGUUAUGGAGCUACUUCUAUCCAUUAGGAGCCCUCAAGAUCAGAUUUACCAUCACAGAACAUAUUGCUCUAUGAGAGGUAUGCAAGAGAGUCAAUAGCUUGGAAAAGGAAGGAUAAAAAUUGACUGCAG
rnacentral:lncRNA from 1 species